rnacentral:tRNA from 1 species
GGGCCGGUAGCUCAGCCAGGGAGAGCGACGGGCUCUUAACCCGUCGGUCGGGGGUUCAAAUCCCUCCCGGCCCG